rnacentral:rRNA from 1 species
CCUACGGGUGGCAGCAGUGGGGAAUAUUGGGCAAUGGGCGCAAGCCUGACCCAGCAACGCCGCGUGAAGGAAGAAGGCUUUCGGGUUGUAAACUUCUUUUCUCAGGGACGAAGAAAGUGACGGUACCUGAGGAAUAAGCCACCGCUAACUACGUGCCAGCAGCCGCGGUAAUACGUAGGUGGCAAGCGUGAUCCGGAUUGACUGGGUGUAAAGGGCGUGUAGGCGGGGAAGCAAGUCAGAUGUGAAAACCACGGGCGCAGCCUGUGGCGUGCAUUUGAUACUGUUUGACUAGAGUACUGGAGAGGCAGAUGGAAUUCCUGGUGUAGCGGUGGAAUGCGUAGAUAUUAGGAGGAACACCAGUGGCGAAGGCAGUCUUCUGGACAGCAACUGACGCUGAGGCGCGAAAGCGUGGGGAGCGAACAGGAUUAGAUACCCCAGUAGUC